CUUGGUCAUUUAGAGGAAGUAAAAGUCGUAACAAGGUUUCCGUAGGUGAAGUGUUCAGCCUACCAAAGCAUACCUUUCAAAACUGCUAGUCUCUUGACGAGGCGACACGCUCAACGUUGCGGAGACGUCCUCGUUCGCGAGGGUAAUCCGCAGCCGGCCCCCCCUUACCCGGGGCUGGUUCAGAGACUCAAUGAGUGUGGGUUUGGCCCCGGCGGCCAGGCUUAAGAUAGAGCCCGUCCCCGUAGGCAACUGCGGGGGAUCAACGGAACCUGCGGAAGGAUCAUUAAAGAAUCGGUGACCCUUGCGGUCCCAUUCUCACCCUUUGUAUACCAAACCUCAGUUGCUUUGGCUGGCCCUCGCGGGCCCGGCCAGAGGACCCCAAACCCUUGAAUUUUUGCUGUCUGAGUACUAUAUAAUAGUUAAAACUUUCAACAACGGAUCUCUUGGUUCUGGCAUCGAUGAAGAACGCAGCGAAAUGCGGUAAGUAAUGUGAAUUGCAGAAUUCAGUGAAUCAUCGAAUCUUUGAACGCACAUUGCGCCCUCUGGUAUUCCGGGGGGCAUGCCUGUUCGAGCGUCAUUACAACCCUCAAGCUCAGCUUGGUAUUGGGCUCGCCCCUCUGCGGGCUUGCCUCAAAAUCAGUGGCGGCUCCGUCCGGUCUCAAGCGCAAUAAUACUCGUCGCUUGCUAGGCUCGGUCGGCGGCUUGCCAACAACCCCCAUUUUUACAAGGUUGACCUCGGAUCAGGUAGGGAUACCCGCUGAACUUAAGCAUAUCAAUAAGCGGAGGA
rnacentral:rRNA from 1 species